CCCAUUGAAACCGCCGCGAACGGGGCCUAUGUUUGCUCUGUCUGGAAACAGACUAUGGACAUAAACGCGCUCGUAAUAAGCGGAUCGGACCCGGGGGCGGUACCCGGCCACUCCACCAUAACCCGUUCAUUUGGCGGCCAUGGGGUGGAAACAGGAUCGACGAACGUCUAAAGGGGUUAGCUUUGUCCCGGCUGUCUGCCACCGUUACCGGCGAAAACAGUACAAUUGCAAAUGACAAUCGUGCUCCGGUCGCUCUGGCUGCGUAAGCAGUCCGAAGACCGAAACUUAAGCCCUUGCGCCUAGCAGCGUAAGGCGGGGUUCGCAGGCACCUGGCAACAGAAGCCUGCACU
rnacentral:tmRNA from 1 species